AAAUGACCUUGUGGGCGCAACUUAAAAGUAGCAGUGUAGAAGCAUCCUGUUGCUCCUUUAUCUUCUUUAGUGAUAUUCUGCUGGUUCCACAGCUGGAGCAGUGCAUAAAAGUACAUUUGUAAUUUCUAAUUCUGUUAUUUUUUCUGUCUAUUCUACAGGUGACUUCCUUUUCCUACUCUUUUCCCUACUCCAUACACUUUUACCACUUGUGGCUGCACUUAGUGACUGCUAUGUGGAUCAUCUUUCAAAUAGCAUCGUGUAUCUCCUAAAAGAGUCCAUAGAUUCCUGUGAUAGCUACAACUGGAUGGUGAAUGAAACAGUCGUGGCAAAUGAAGACAGCUUUAAUCGCACAUUAGUUCAAAGCCGAGGACGGAGUAACAUUACAUUCUUCUCCUGUCACAACACUGUUACAUACAAGAAUGUGUGCAACAGGGUGAGUAAUACCAUGAUUAAUAUUUGAUAAUGAUGAUGAUAUGGAGUCAAAAAUGAUGAUGAAUGUCAAAAUGUCACAUAGACAUUCAGUGGAAGUGAAUGCAAAGAUUUUAUUCAUUUAGUAUUUCCUAAUUGUACGGUCCAUUAAUCAUUAUUUUUUUAUAUAUAGAACAACUAUCAGACUCACAAAGUAAAAUAUGUUAAUAAGUCAAGAGAUACAGUAAUCAGUAAAAAGAUUUUACUGGAAAUUAAUGAUAUCAUUGAUGAUACUGUAUCAUCUCCACAGAUGACCAUGAACUGCUCUGGUAAGUAAAAUGCAAUUUCCUUCAUAAAUCACACAUUAAAAAUAAUUAUUUAUGCAUAAAAUCAGUUCAAGCUUUUUGUAAUAUGAUUUCCAAAAUUUUUAUCAAAUAAAAAAGAAAAGAAAAGUGUGACA
rnacentral:lncRNA from 1 species